GUGCUUGCUUCGGCAGCACAUAUACUAAAAUUGGAAUGAUACAGAGAAGAUUAGCGUGGCCCCUGUGCAAGGAUGACACGCAAAUUCAUGAAGCAUUCCAUAAUUUU
ensembl:snRNA U6 U6 spliceosomal RNA